GAUGAACGCUGGCGGCGUGCCUAAUACAUGCAAGUCGAGCGAGCAGACGAGGAGCUUGCUCCUUUGACGUUAGCGGCGGACGGGUGAGUAACACGUGGGUAACCUACCUAUAAGACUGGGAUAACUUCGGGAAACCGGAGCUAAUACCGGAUAAUAUUUCGAACCGCAUGGUUCGAUAGUGAAAGAUGGCUCUGCUAUCACUUAUAGAUGGACCUGCGCCGUAUUAGCUAGUUGGUAAGGUAACGGCUUACCAAGGCAACGAUACGUAGCCGACCUGAGAGGGUGAUCGGCCACACUGGAACUGAGACACGGUCCAGACUCCUACGGGAGGCAGCAGUAGGGAAUCUUCCGCAAUGGGCGAAAGCCUGACGGAGCAACGCCGCGUGAGUGAUGAAGGUCUUCGGAUCGUAAAACUCUGUUAUUAGGGAAGAACAAACGUGUAAGUAACUGUGCACGUCUUGACGGUACCUAAUCAGAAAGCCACGGCUAACUACGUG
rnacentral:rRNA from 1 species